AUGGCGUUCGGCCGCACACCGUUCAAGGGCAAGAACCGCAAGGAGACGUUCCGGAACGUGCUGCACAGGGAGCGGGAUCCCGCGAGGCGGCUCGGGUACGCCGGCAGCACUGACGAGAUCCGGGCGCACCCGUUCUUCGCCGGGAUGGCGUGGGACAUGCUCGUGGAGGCGACCCGCCUGCCCUACAUCCCGCCGCCAGCGGAGGACAACUCAGUCGACAGCGAGGGCUUCGACGUGAGGGACUACUUCAAGAAGCUCUACCAGCCGCCGGCGCCGCCGCCUCCAGAGUCGGGCUCGUCGUCAUCGUUGUCGUCGUCGGACUUCUCGUCGGUGUUCUGA
rnacentral:rRNA from 1 species